GAGUUUGAUCCUGGCUCAGGACGAACGUUGGCGGUGCGCUUUAUGCAUGCAAGUCGAGCGAGAAGCAGUUGUUCCGUAAGGUUCAGCUGUGGACAGCGGCGAACGGGUGCGUAACACGUGAGAAACCUGCCCCCCAGACCGGGAUAGCCCAGGGAAACUUGGAUUAAUACCGGAUACUCUCUUUGGACCGCAUGGUCCGCUGAGGAAAGGUCCGCUGCUGGGGGAUGGUCUCGCGGCCUAUCAGGUAGUUGGUGAGGUAACGGCUCACCAAGCCGAAGACGGGUAGCUGGUCUGAGAGGACGAUCAGCCACACUGGAACUGAGACACGGUCCAGACUCCUACGGGAGGCAGCAGCAGGGAAUAUUGCACAAUGGGCGAAAGCCUGAUGCAGCGACACCGCGUGCGGGAUGAAGGCCUUCGGGUUGUAAACCGCUUUCAGGAGGGAAGAAAAUGACGGUACCUCCAGAAGAAGGCCCGGCCAACUACGUGCCAGCAGCCGCGGUAAUACGUAGGGGCCAAACGUUGUCCGGAUUUAUUGGGCGUAAAGGGCUCGUAGGCGGUUCAACAAGUCGGUCGUGAAAGACCGGGGCUCAACUCCGGGACGCCGGUCGAUACUGUUGUGACUAGAGUUCGGUAGAGGUGAGUGGAAUUCUCAGUGUAGCGGUGGAAUGCGCAGAUAUUGAGAGGAACACCAUUAGCGAAGGCGGCUCACUGGGCCGAUACUGACGCUGAGGAGCGAAAGCGUGGGGGAGCAAACAGGAUUAGAUACCCUGGUAGUCCACGCUGUAAACGAUGAACACUAGGUGUAGCGGAUUUAUUCAUGUCUGCUGUGCCGUAGCUAACGCAUUAAGUGUUCCGCCUGGGGAGUACGGCCGCAAGGCUAAACUCAAAGGAAUUGACGG
rnacentral:rRNA from 1 species